rnacentral:tRNA from 1 species
GGGUUCUUAGCUCAGUUGGUAGAGCAGCGGACUCUUAAUCCGUCGGUCGAGAGUUCGAAUCUCUCAGAACCCACCA